GUCACCUGUUCUUCCCUGUUGCGUUCGGCACUGACUGGGGAGUUUGUAUCUGGGCAAAAAAUGGAAACUUUUUAAAAAGACUGCUCUUACCGCGUGAGAGUGAGUGACUUUUUCUCCACCAGGGCUUAAUUAGGUGCUUGAAGUUCCUCAGAAAAGCCAAGCCAGGGUUUAUUUUCAGAGUUCAUACAAGUACUUCACGUGGUUAAAGAAGCCCAUCCCGGCUGUGAGAAUAGCGUGGAGUAGCUUGCGCGUUAAGAACGGGCAGAACGCCACUCAAAAGCACGUCGGGAUGGUGGGUUUCGGAUUGGGUGUCCAGCCCUCCACACACAAGCUUAUAGUUCCUUAAGGCCAGGAACCCAGAAGGUGUGCAGGUACAGUAUAUCAGAAGUAUGAGCCGAUCUUUUUCCAGUCCAUUGGAAAUCCAUUUAUUUUUAGAUGCCUGGAUGGGGUACUCAUUGAUGGGAAUGACAAAGGGAUAUCAAAAGUUGUGUACAGAUCUUGCAACGGGAGGGAUCGACUCGGCCCUUUAAAAAUGAGUGACAGUACAUGGUUAACAUCAGAAAUUCAUAACCCUCUGGCUGUGGGACAGUAUGUCAACA
rnacentral:sRNA from 1 species